GUUUAUUAAAUAUACAUUUAAAAAUAAACAUAAUGUUGAAAUAUAUAAUGAAAUAGAAUUAUUAAAAGAAAAUAUCUCGCAGGGACGAGAGAAUCAAAACACGUUGCGACACAUUAUAUUCGGUUUAUUUAAACAGAACUAACGAAAUGCAAAAGACUUGAUGCUAACACACGGAGUAAGGAACUGUAACAACAUAGGACAGUCGGAAACAUUUGAAAAUUAUCGCUCUAUUGCCACGCGCUACUUGUUCGGCCGACUUUGACACUUAUGGCGGCCGCCUCGGGUAGCAAUCAGUAGGACUACCUCAAUUUGCACACAAGCAGCGAGAUCACUCACUAGACGAAUUAUGGGUUAAUGCAGUGUCAAAGUAAUCUUUCAAAUAUGCUAAAAAUGUUCAACUUCAUAUACACAUUACUUCUGAAAAGAUGGAUUUCUUAAAUCAAAAUUGAUUAUUAAACUCUAUAGUUUAUAUGUUGUUGCUAUUGUUUGCAUUCAGGAUUUAAUCAACCAAUCAAUCAUAAAGGACAUGUAAAUAGCAUUAAAAAUAUUUCGCAGCAAUAUAAAAAAUACUGAAUUUUAUGAGUUUAAUGAUCGAAAAGAAGUACUUUGUUCAAAUAAACCAUGUAAACAGAUGUUUCUAUAUAUGUCACUAUUCCUUAUUAUUGUUUACAUGUAUAAAAAUAAAGCAGAGGUUUCCACCAAUUGGUAUCUCUUUCAAUUUUUUAUUC